UUGCUUGGUGGUGGUGAUUUGAUUGGUGGUGUUUGUGAAUGAAAUUUUUAAGGUGAAGAGAGAGAAAAGUAAAAGUGAAAGUGAUAGAGAGAAAAUUGAAGAGUUAUUUAAGAAAGGGUUACUUAAGGGAGUUCAUAUAAAAAUACGGGCGUUACCCGGUAAAUACCGGACGCGGUUUAGUACCCCCCAAUCUGUUUAGAGUUCUUCCCUUAAUGAAUUUGAUCCUAACUGAUCGGGUCAUUGAUAGAGAAAGAGAUGCUCGAUCGUCCUUAGAGAAGCUUGACAAUGGCGAGCGACGCGGACGCUGAUGAUGAUGAAACUCCUCUGUUGAUUUCGCCGCAAUUUCUCAUUGCUCCAAUGGCCACGAUCGACAAUUUUAAGUUGGUCCUUUACUCCUUUUGAACUAUUUCAAAUCCGUAUCAAUAGAUUGAAGUCAAUUAGAUCCAAUUUCAAGAUUAAUCAUAAAUGAGAAGAUCAAGUACUAUGCUUCCAAAAAAAAAAAAAAGAAGAUCAAGUACUGUAUAUUGUAGAUAUGAUUCAUUGCGGGACAACAACACAACUUUGAAAUGAUAAGAGAUUCUUGUAGUUUUUUUUUUUUAAAUCUUGUUAUUCCUUUUUCAUUUACAUUUAAGUUGUAUAAAAAAUUUAUUAAUUUAAUAGAAGUUUUGAUAACCUUUUGUAUUUCCA